UAACUACUUAAUAUCCUCUUUGACAGUAUUUAUCAGAUUAAAGUGAUGAUGAAUAUGUUUGAUAUGUAAAGUUGAUUUGCUUUACUGUUGCAGGUCAGAUAACUGGAUUUAAUUGACUUCGCCGAUUCAAGAAUACACUUCCAUGCUUACCCUAAUGAACUAAUUGUUUCCUUAACUUCUCAAACCCAAAACGAUGCAUAU
rnacentral:lncRNA from 1 species